AUUUUACUAUUCAAUCAUUCAAAGAUGCAAUUGGAAAGCCCUUCAACAGGUUAACAUUUUUUAUCUGUGCAGAGAAAGACUACAAAACACUCCGUCAAGGGGAUGAGACUGACAAUGAAGUUAUUAUUCAUCCAAGAUGGAGCAUGAAUAGAGACAACUUAGAAGACACCUUGCCAUUAUGUCAUAGUUCACCAAGAGAGGAAUCUAAGCCUGACCAACAAAAGAUUUCAGUCCCAAUUAGUGAAAAGCAAUUAGACAAAUGCACCACAGAAACAUCGACAAGUUCAUCAUACCUGACUGGGUCACAG